GCCCAAAACCUAACUCAACUUUACAUGAAUUUUACCUUAAUAACUUUACCCCCAUUAAUAAACCAUUUUCAUAGUUUAGUAAAGGAGAUUGAAAAACCUCUAUUGAAGUUAUAAUUAUAGUACCGCAAGGGAAAAGUGAAAUAUUUAAUGAAAAAUAUUAAGCAAAAAAAAGUAAAGACCUCCCCUUGUACCUUUUGCAUCAUGGUUUAACUAGUCUAAUCAAGCAAAACGAAUUUAAGUUUGACUUCCCGAAACUAAGUGAGCUACUUCAAGGCAGCCAAAAGAGCGAACCCGUCCCUGUAGCAAAAGAGUGGGAUGACCUUCAAGUAGGGGUGAAAGACCUAACGAACUUAGUGAUAGCUGGUUACUCAAAAAACGGACCUAAGUCCCUCUUGAAGUGCUUAAUUAGUUUACCAAAACAACCAUUUAACCUUCAAUGUAAUUCAAAUAAGGUACAGCCUAUUUGAAACAGGAAACAACCUAAACUAAUGGAUAAGACAGCUUUAUUAACAACUUAGUAGGCCUAAAAGCAGCCAUCUAUUAAAUAGCGUCAAAGCUUAAUUGUUUUAAUGCUCAAUUUCAAAAACAUUAUCUUAAUCCUCCAUCUUUAUUGAGUAAUUCUAUAAUUUUAUAGAAAAUUUUAUGUUAAAACUAGUAACAAGAAGAAGACCUUCUCUCUAAUGUAAGUGUCGAUCAGAAAGGACAAACCACUGAUAUUUAACAUCACUGAACCAAAAACAGUAACUCAUCGAGAAAAUCCUGUUUUUAUUUAUGUUAACCUAACACAAGAGCAUUAUAAGAAAGAUUAAAAGAAAAAGAAGGAACUCGGCAAAUAUUAACCUCGCCUGUUUACCAAAAACAUCGCCUCUUGAACUUUAUAAGAGGUCCAGCCUGCCCAGUGACUCUGUUCAACGGCCGCGGUAUCCUA
rnacentral:rRNA from 1 species